GUUUGAUCCUGGCUCAGGACGAACGCUGGCGGCGUGCUUAACACAUGCAAGUCGAGCGCGUGUAGCAAUACACGAGCGGCAGACGGGAGAGUAACACGUGGGAACGUACCCUUUGGUUCGGAACAACCCAGGGAAACUUGGACUAAUACCGGAUAAGCCCUUACGGGGAAAGAUUUAUCGCCGAAAGAUCGGCCCGCGUCUGAUUAGCUAGUUGGUGAGGUAAUGGCUCACCAAGGCGACGAUCAGUAGCUGGUCUGAGAGGAUGAUCAGCCACAUUGGGACUGAGACACGGCCCAAACUCCUACGGGAGGCAGCAGUGGGGAAUAUUGGACAAUGGGCGCAAGCCUGAUCCAGCCAUGCCGCGUGAGUGAUGAAGGCCCUAGGGUUGUAAAGCUCUUUUGUGCGGGAAGAUAAUGACGGUACCGCAAGAAUAAGCCCCGGCUAACUUCGUGCCAGCAGCCGCGGUAAUA
rnacentral:rRNA from 1 species